AGUGGCAGACGGGUGAGUAACACGUGGGAACGUGCCCCAAGGUACGGAGUAGCAGCGGGAAACUGCUGGUAAUACCGUAUGUGACCGAGAGGUGAAAGAUUUAUCGCCUUGGGAGCGGCCCGCGUCUGAUUAGGCAGUUGGUGGGGUAAUGGCCUACCAAGCCGACGAUCAGUAGCUGGUCUGAGAGGAUGAUCAGCCACAUUGGGACUGAGACACGGCCCAAACUCCUACGGGAGGCAGCAGUCGGGAAUAUUGGACAAUGGGCGCAAGCCUGAUCCAGCCAUGCCGCGUGGAUGAUGAAGGCCUUCGGGUUGUAAAAUCCUUUCGUCCGGGACGAUAAUGACGGUACCGGAAGAAGAAGCCCCGGCUAACUUCGUGCCAGCGGCCGCGGUAAUACGAAGGGGGCUAGCGUUGUUCGGAUUUACUGGGCGUAAAGCGCAUGUAGGCGGGUCGUUAAGUCGGGGGUGAAAGCCCAGAGCUCAACUCUGGAACUGCCUUCGAUACUGACGACCUGGAGCAGGUCAGAGGCGAGUGGAAUUGCGAGUGUAGAGGUGAAAUUCGUAGAUAUUCGCAGGAACACCAGUGGCGAAGGCGACUCGCUGGGACUUUGCAGACGCUGAGAUGCGAAAGCGUGGGGAGCAAACAGGAUUAGAUACCCUGGUAGUCCACGCCGUAAACGAUGGAUGCUAGUUGUCG
rnacentral:rRNA from 2 species